UACAGAGGUCUCAAGCGUUGUUCGGAUUCAUUGGGCGUAAAGGGUGCGUAGGUGGCGCGGUAAGUCGGGUGUGAAAUUUCGGAGCUUAACUCCGAAACUGCAUUCGAUACUGCCGUGCUUGAGGACUGGAGAGGAGACUGGAAUUUACGGUGUAGCAGUGAAAUGCGUAGAUAUCGGGAGGAACACCAGUGGCGAAGGCGGCUUCCUGGCCUGUUCUUGACGCUGAGGCGCGAAAGCUAGGGGAGCAAACGGG
rnacentral:rRNA from 1 species